rnacentral:rRNA from 1 species
ACACAUGCAAGUCGAACGGUAAGGCCCUUCGGGGUACACGAGUGGCGAACGGGUGAGUAACACGUGGGUAAUCUGCCCUGCACAUCGGGAUAAGCCUGGGAAACUGGGUCUAAUACCGAAUAGGACCACAGAACACAUGUCCUGUGGUGGAAAGCUUUUGCGGUGUGGGAUGGGCCCGCGGCCUAUCAGCUUGUUGGUGGGGUGAUGGCCCACCAAGGCGACGACGGGUAGCCGGCCUGAGAGGGUGUCCGGCCACACUGGGACUGAGAUACGGCCCAGACUCCUACGGGAGGCAGCAGUGGGGAAUAUUGCACAAUGGGCGAAAGCCUGAUGCAGCGACGCCGCGUGGGGGAUGACGGCCUUCGGGUUGUAAACCUCUUUCACCAUCGACGAAGGUUCGGGUUUUCUCGGAUUGACGGUAGGUGGAGAAGAAGCACCGGCCAACUACGUGCCAGCAGCCGCGGUAAUACGUAGGGUGCGAGCGUUGUCCGGAAUUACUGGGCGUAAAGAGCUCGUAGGUGGUUUGUCGCGUUGUUCGUGAAAUCUCACGGCUUAACUGUGAGCGUGCGGGCGAUACGGGCAGACUUGAGUACUGCAGGGGAGACUGGAAUUCCUGGUGUAGCGGUGGAAUGCGCAGAUAUCAGGAGGAACACCGGUGGCGAAGGCGGGUCUCUGGGCAGUAACUGACGCUGAGGAGCGAAAGCGUGGGGAGCGAACAGGAUUAGAUACCCUGGUAGUCCACGCCGUAAACGGUGGGUACUAGGUGUGGGUUUCCUUCCUUGGGAUCCGUGCCGUAGCUAACGCAUUAAGUACCCCGCCUGGGGAGUACGGCCGCAAGGCUAAAACUCAAAGAAAUUGACGGGGGCCCGCACAAGCGGCGGAGCAUGUGGAUUAAUUCGAUGCAACGCGAAGAACCUUACCUGGGUUUGACAUGCACAGGACGCCGGCAGAGAUGUCGGUUCCCUUGUGGCCUGUGUGCAGGUGGUGCAUGGCUGUCGUCAGCUCGUGUCGUGAGAUGUUGGGUUAAGUCCCGCAACGAGCGCAACCCUUGUCUCAUGUUGCCAGCGGGUAAUGCCGGGGACUCGUGAGAGACUGCCGGGGUCAACUCGGAGGAAGGUGGGGAUGACGUCAAGUCAUCAUGCCCCUUAUGUCCAGGGCUUCACACAUGCUACAAUGGCCGGUACAAAGGGCUGCGAUGCCGCGAGGUUAAGCGAAUCCUUUUAAAGCCGGUCUCAGUUCGGAUCGGGGUCUGCAACUCGACCCCGUGAAGUCGGAGUCGCUAGUAAUCGCAGAUCAGCAACGCUGCGGUGAAUACGUUCCCGGGCCUUGUACACACCGCCCGUCACGUCAUGAAAGUCGGUAACACCCGAAGCCAGUGGCCUAACCCUUUGGGAGGGAGCUGUC